rnacentral:rRNA from 1 species
CACGUAGGGUGCAAGCGUUGUCCGGAUUCAUUGGGCGUAAAGGGCUAGUAGGCGGCUUAGCAAGUCGGGUGUGAAAACUUCAGGCUCAACCUGGAGCGGCCAUCCGAUACUGCUAUGGCUAGAGUCCGGUAGGGGACCACGGAAUUCCUGGUGUAGCGGUGAAAUGCGCAGAUAUCAGGAGGAACACCGACGGCGAAGGUAGCUCGCUGGGACGGUACUGACGCUAAGGCGCGAAAGCGUGGGGAGCGAACAGG